rnacentral:rRNA from 1 species
UACGGAGGGUGCGAGCGUUAAUCGGAAUUAUUGGGCGUAAAGGGCGCGUAGGUGGUUAAUUAAGUUAGUUGUAAAAGUCCUGUGCUUAACGUGGGGUGGUCAACUAAUACUGAUUAGCUAGAGUAUUAUAGAGGGUAGUGGAAUUCUCGGUGUAGCGGUGAAAUGCGUAGAUAUCGGGAGGAACACCAGUGGCGAAGGCGGCUACCUGGGUAGAUACUGACACUGAGGCGCGAAAGCGUGGGGAGCAAACAGG